rnacentral:rRNA from 1 species
UAAGGAAUAUUGGGCAAUGGGCGCAAGCCUGACCCAGCCACGCCGCGUGAAGGAAGAAGGCGUUAUGCGUUGUAAACUUCUUUUGUAUGGGAAGAAUGACCGAGAUUUAUCUUGGGAGAGACGGUACCAUAAGAAUAAGCACCGGCUAACUCCGUG